rnacentral:lncRNA from 1 species
CACUUCCAUAUUCAAUUUCACUGCCCUGUUACACUACCACCACCCUCAACACUACCAAGCAACAGUAAUAACAGCACCACUCUAACGAUAAUGAUUUCAUCAACAAUAGAACUCGUUACUAGCAAAAUCACAUAGUAUUACAAAUUGAUAAGAGAAAAAAUAAAAAAACUCCACCGUUGCAACUGCUACCAUUGAAGCCAAUCUGUGUUUACCACCAUCUUUAAUUAUUUUCCAAAACAAAUAGAAAAAAAAAAGGACCACAAAAAUAAAAAAAUAGUUUGUUACCAUCGUUGUCAUCGUUGCUCAUACAACAUCGUUGUUGCCCUGCAGCUUCAACCACCGCCAUCACUGUCGUCUAUGGUUGUUGUAAAGAUUCUGGCAAUUGUAGAGGUUGGAACUAGUAAUGAACAAUUCAUCUUGAUGGGCAAAAGAUAUGGCAAUCUUGAACGGCUGGAUGUGGGCGAGCUCGAAUGGCUAGAUUUAGGUGAUUUCAAUGUUGUUGCUGCGGCGAUGAGCGAUAGCUGCAGUCUGUGGUGUUGUGAUAUGUAGUAGGAUGGCACCUUUGGUGUUAUGGCUUGGUGUUUGUAGAAUCAUAAUUGGUGCUAUGGGAUUAAGUUUGUUUGGUGGAUGAAAGAAAGAAAGUCUCCAUUGGUCUUUUCUUUUUUUGGAUUAAAUUUUUUUGAUUAAUUUUUUUU